UGAAUAAACCUAGUUUUACAGCUAGCUGCAUAUUUCAUUUGUAUGCAAGUUGCAUUAAAUCUCAUUAAACUGAAUAAAACUAAAAGACAUAAUAGGUAGAAGUCAGUGACAAUAAAAGGAAUAGAGCAGUCAACAUAGUGUAACAAUUCGACAUAGUAUAUAAAAAUAUAAAUAACUACGUAGGACAACAGGGUAAUUUAAUAGUCUAACAACCCCUGAUAACAUACAAAGAGAGAAAAAAAACAUACUAGGAAACAUAUUAAAAAAAUCAUAACACUAUAACUAACUGGUGGGAUGUAUAAAUACCGAGCCGCGUCAAAGAGUAUUCAUCAAAAUACACAUAGAAAGAAACAGAGGUGAAGGUAAACCGCAAACAUAUAAUUAAACUCAAAACAUUUUAAAAAUAGUAUGGAAAAGCCUUGGUCUGAAGCAAAAAACGUCGAUAAGACGCACAUCAGUAAAUAAAAGUUCAAACCAUAACCAGGAUGGAGUACCACAAACCCCACAUAAAACUUAUGUGGUGUAAGUAUGAUGCGUUAAUAAAAUCACAUUUGGUGGUGAAUGAGUAGUAUAAACGCCGCGAAGGUUACAAAUAUGAUGUUAAUUGUCUUCUAAUUGUUGAAAUUAUAAUUCUUAAAAUUUUAAAUCAAAAGUUACCCACAUCUAAAAAUAAA
rnacentral:lncRNA from 1 species